rnacentral:tRNA from 1 species
CAACAGGUGACUGAAAUGCAAGUAAUGGUCUCUUAAACCAUUCUAUAGUAGACGCAACUACUCCUGAUGA